AAGCUCGUAGUUGAAUUUCGGGAUCGACGGGUCGGUCGCGCCUCUGGUGUGUACUGGCCCUGUCGGUUUCUCCCUUCUGACGAACCACGAUGUCAUUAAUUUGGUGUCGUGGGAAAUCAGGACUGUUACUUUGAAGAAAUUAGAGUGUUUAAAGCAGGCAUUCGCUUGAAUACAUUAGCAUGGAAUAAUGAAAUAGGACGUUUGAUCUUAUUUUGCUGGUUUCUAAGAUCGACGUAAUGAUUAAUAGGGAUAGUUGGGGGCAUUAGUAUUCAAUUGUCAGAGGUGAAAUUCUUGGAUUUAUUGAAGACUAACUACUGCGAAAGCAUUUGCCAAGGAUGUUUUCAUUAAUCAAGAACGAAAGUUAGGGGAUCGAAGACGAUCAGAUACCGUCGUAGUCUUAACCAUAAACUAUGCCGACUAGGGAUCGGAUGAUGCUUAUUUUUUAAUGACUCAUUCGGCACCUUACGGGAAACCAAAGUGUUUGGGUUCCGGGGGGAGUAUGGUCGCAAGGCUGAAACUUAAAGGAAUUGACGGAAGGGCACCACCAGGGGUGGAGCCUGCGGCUUAAUUUGACUCAACACGGGGAAA
rnacentral:rRNA from 1 species